rnacentral:lncRNA from 1 species
UAAAUAUAGAAUAAAGAGCUAAUAAGAGAGAGGGAAUCCCUUGUCCAAUCCUCUCAUCUGUUCACUUUUUGCGCAAGGACAUUCCGUAAGAUGAUUUCGCAUGAGGCCGUUCCACGAGGAUGUUCCACGAUGGCCAUUCUGCGAGUGCUCCAUGAGUGCUCUGAUGGCUGUUCCAUGAGCCGUUCUUGCACACGGACAUUCUGCGGC